UGUUUUCAAGAAAGAAUUAGAUUUAGUUUUUAUGGCUAACGGAAUCAAGGGAUAGGGGGAAAAAGCAGGAACGGGGUACUGAUUUUGGAUGAUCAGCCAUGAUCAUAUUGAAUGGCGGUCGGUGCAGGCU